GACGAACGCUGGCGGCGUGCUUAACACAUGCAAGUCGAACGGAAAGGCCUCUUUCGGGGGGUACUCGAGUGGCGAACGGGUGAGUAACACGUGAGUAACCUGCCCUUGACUUUGGGAUAACUUCAGGAAACUGGGGCUAAUACCGGAUAGGAGCUCCUGCUGCAUGGUGGGGGUUGGAAAGUUUCGGCGGUUGGGGAUGGACUCGCGGCUUAUCAGCUUGUUGGUGGGGUAGUGGCUUACCAAGGCCUUGACGGGUAGCCGGCCUGAGAGGGUGACCGGCCACAUUGGGACUGAGAUACGGCCCAGACUCCUACGGGAGGCAGCAGUGGGGAAUAUUGCACAAUGGGUGGAAGCCUGAUGCAGCAGCGCCGUGGGCGGGAUGACGGCCUUCGGGUUGUAAACCGCUUUCGCUCAUGACGAAGCUUUGUGUGACGGUAGUGGGUAAAGAAGCACCGGCUAACUACGUG
rnacentral:rRNA from 1 species